rfam:Gossypium arboreum cultivar AKA8401 contig_185_9, whole genome shotgun sequence.
UGUUAAAAAUUUCAUCAAUUUUACUGUUGAAAAAUAGCGUGACUGAUAAAAUAACUAGACAGUUACACGUAGCAUGCUACGUAUAUCUAAUUCUAACGUACAAGGACCAAUUUUUAACAAUAGAAAUGAAUGAAAAUUUGAGCA